ACUACACGUGCCAGCAGCCGCGGUAAUACGGAGGGUGCGAGCGUUAAUCGGAAUUACUGGGCGUAAAGCGCAUGCAGGCGGCCUGUUAAGUCAGAUGUGAAAGACCCGGGGCGUUAACCUCGGAAUUGCAUUUGAAACUGGCAGGCUAGAGUCUUGUAGAGGGGGGUAGGAAUUUCAGGUGUAGCGGUGAAAUAGCGUAGAGAUCUGAAGGAAUACCAGUGGCGAAGGCGGCCCCCUGGACAAAGACUGACGCUCAGAUGCGGAAGCGUGGGGAGCAAACAGGAUUAGAUACCCUGGUAG
rnacentral:rRNA from 1 species